rnacentral:lncRNA from 1 species
GGCGAGAAGGAUGUGGAUGCUUUCAAAUCCAUUCAAUAAUGAGUUCCCCAGCUUCCAAAAACACAAAGAAGAUUAAGGAGCACAAUUGUGCUGAGAAUCAGGGGCAGAACUUAGAAGAGAAGAGGAAGAGAGAGAAGAGAGGACCAAAAUAUCCAUUUUACAAAUGGUAGGGGUGGGCGGGGUGGGGUGGUCAACCAUUUAA